rnacentral:snRNA from 1 species
AUACUUACCUGGCUGGAAGGGCUUGCGAUCAAGCAGGCGGGCUCUUUGGACGCUACCCCCUGCCAUUGCACCAAGGCUGUGCGUGGUAGAGUCCAGCGCUGACCCCAAGCGGGUGGGCGCACAGCAUAAUUUGUGCUAGUGUGGGUGGUGCGCUCGUCGCCUACCCACG